CACCGGAUCUCUUCGUGGGAACGGCAGCAAAGUACUGGAGCAAAUCCUGACUCAUCUUCAGCGGAGAAAACCUCGCCCUUCCUCCACAGCCUCCCAUGGGUCUCACACACUCCUUCCUUUUUUCAUCAGACCCACCUACAGGGAGACUUGAAUGUCAGAUGACGGUGAUGUGCUAAAAAUCCUGGAAGCUAAUGAAGAGAAAGUUACAGGCAUGGGCUUACAGGACACCAGAAAAUCAAACAAGGACCAGAAUCCAGCCUACAUAUUUUCAAACAUGGAGCAAAAAAAGAAAAUGGAGCUAAGCGACAGACAACCAUUGACGAUCACAUUCACACCUGCAUGUCUUUGGACUGUGGGAGGAAGCUGGAGUACCCAGAGAAUACCCACACUGACACUGGGAAAUCAUGUAAACUCCACACACACACACACACACACCCACCCUGGGAUCUUCCUAUUCUGGAGAUCCACAGUACUCACACGAGGCAGGGAAAAAAGUUAAGCCGGUUUAUCGAGAAUACGAAAAAGAAAAACAAAACAACAGGCCAAGUCCUUCCAAAAAUACAUCUUGUAUGGUCCUCUACCGACUCAAAUCUUCCCAAAUGGACAUGUUUCAGGAGGAAUAUGAUCCGAAAUCAGAGAGAAAUCAACAACAUCAGCAACCAAGAUUACAUGCUAUCCUGAUGUUAGCACGUAGCUACAUGUAGCAGAGUAUGUACUUUGAAUACUUGCAGUAUAGUUUGUCUCAAAAAGUUGGAAAAAAACAUGGAAACGGCAUUCAAAACAGUCUGAAGCCUGAGGUUUUUGCUCACAGGGAGAAAUUUUACAUAUGUUUACCAUAUUAUUUAAAACCAAUAUGAAUAUUAUAUUUUAUUAUUAUAAAUAUAAGUAUAAUAGGUCCCCUUUUAUGUUGAGUGUUAUUGUUGUAACGGGGCAUUAACAGCCUGAAGAUGAGAUAAAGGCUUGUGAGUACACUAUCACUCUGGAUAAAUCUCUACAACAGCUGUGAGGAUGUGGGCGGGGGUUGUUAAGUGAGGACCAUUUGUUAACCAGGAAUUUCAAAAUAUGAUGAAGAGACACCAGUGACUGUUUAUACCUGUUAAUUCAUUGAGAAAGCAGGGCAAAUUGACUAACUUGGCACACCAUCACAUUAAAAUGUAAUGGAGAGAAUAAAUGGAGUAUGAAAUAGCAAUGAAAUUAACAAGCAUAAACAUUCUGUUAUGGUCCUAAAUAAAAAUAAUUUUAUAACGGCAAUAAAUGGCUAUAAAACAGAGAGGACUGCAGCAUCUGUCUGAAUUAUCCAGUACUCAUACUUCUUAGAAGUGUUAGAAGUCUAACUUUGGUUUAGUUUAUCAGAAGUCAUGGCAGACACAUAGAUCCAGUGAAGAUGGAAGAUGAUUUGGAUGAAUUAUAGAGGCAUUUUGAGCAAUUAUUGUUGGUAUGCGACUAUAACUGUAUGCAGAGGUUAUUGCACCAGGUCUUCAGUCCUAACCCACUUGGUUAUAGUCAGAAAAAGAUCAUGUUUUGGCCUUUAUGGGUCACAACCACGGCAGGAAAUACAGCCUUUAAAAGUGGUUGAUUUCUACAAAGUCACUGCUGCAUUUUCUGUCGAGAUAGUGGCGCGAAAAGCAGUUGAUUUUUACAGUCAUCACUGCCUUUCCUGCUGGGAUAGUGAUCCGAUAAAGGGGUUGUUUUUACCGAGUCAUAGCUAAAAAGCACCUGGAAACACAGUGACAGGGCGCUACAAAACACAAGUUUUGUUUAAAUCUACAAAACACAAGUUUUGUGCCGAAAAACUACGGAAAACAGCGAUGACUCACUAAAUCACAAACUGUUUAGUUGUAUGUUCGUCUCAAACAGUGGUCUGCAGCUUGGCAGGCAUCUCACCAACGUAGGGCUGCCUCCUAAUAGUCGACCAAACGUUAGUCUAUCAAGGUGAUAUGUAAACUCAUCUUCAUUGGUCGACUUUAAACAUGACAUAUAGGGGUUUGCAGAAACGCACAAUGGCAACAUUUUCUUCUUGUGACUGAGCUGUAAGUCGAGAACAGAAGAUUAAUGUGUGUGGUGCACCAGUAGAAACUGUUUUACUGUACAAAUAUAGGAAAGUAGAAUUCUCAGGAAGCCAAAAUGCUCAGAAGGAGCUGGUGUUGUUUCCACGUGUUAGCUGCUCACAUUAAAGAGAUUUAGAUUGUGACAGUAUUUAGGUCAUACAGUUUUUUAUUCUCCCAUGGGAUGGCUGCCGUUACCUCCCGUUUAACUACCAUCAUAACGGCCUAAAGCUAAAUUCUCAACUCGUACCUGCUCCAGCUGCGUUUGUUCAGAGGACUGUGCAACUUCCCCAGUGAUUUAGAGCAGGCGUGAAAAUGUUUAGGUGUGAGGCAGGAAGUUACUAAACAAGAACUAAAUUUGCGUGAAGCUUCUCGGUGAGACAAAAACCUAUUUUUAGGAUCAAAACCUGUCAGAGUCUCCUGCUCCACCAGGUGAGAUACUGCAGCAGUCUGGCUGCUCAGCAAACCGUCUCUGCACAAAUGGAGAUUAUGAGAAAAACAAGACCCCUGUUUUAUAGCAAGAACCUCAUGUGAGCUAUAAAAUCAGACUUUUACCAAAAUUAUUCAGUGGAACGGCCAAAUCCUCCUGACUUUAACACUAUACUUUAUUCCAUUACACUUAUACAACAGCAAGUAUAUGAAGAGAUGGAUAAGAAGAGCUCCCUGAAUCGUAAGGACCAGAUUUAUUGAAGUAAAGCUCACACAUCACAGAGAUCAAUAAAUGUGGAUCAGCUUCCAAAGAAGAUACGAUUCAGACGAGCGCAACACAUUUCAAGCAAUCAGAUUUUUUCUUCAAGCUCGCGCUGAUGAUGUGGGCAUAAAAUAUUGAACUAUAUUGAUAUUUUGGCACAUAUUUUAUUCUUUUUUUUAAAUCAUUAACCUCUUAAUCAAUGCAUCAAUUCCACUAGGAGCCCGUUCUUAAAGGUUUUCUUGUGUAAAGACAUUUUACUGCAGUCAUUUGGCUCCAAUAUUUCGAGUCAGAAUACAAAUAAGACAGGGGAAAAGUGAAAGACAUGCAAUGUGCUGCCUUGCCAGAGUGCCAAUGCCUGUUUGAAAUGUUUUAAAUACAUUGUUGUUAAUGCCACAAACACGGACGGAUGUAUACAUGCGAGUUUGUGUCUAAUUUCCUCCUUAAGUUUUGAUCUAUUGCCAGCACUGACUCACCUCAAAAAUACCACAAAGCAGCACCUGCACGCUGGCACCUUUAGAUGCAUCUGCAUGCAGCCCAGUGAGCCGAUAGUGAAGUGCAAGGUUUUAAUUCUCUAACAAAAAGUAAAGUCGAUCCAAAGAACUGGUUACAAACAGACCCAAUCUGCAGUGUUGUGCACUAAAACAGGUGGCAGCAAAAUGUGGAAGUUGUGCUCAUCUGUUUUAGAGCUGCUCUGGGCUGAAUGAGGGUGUUAAAGUGCUGCUACAGCCAUUAAAAUGGCCACACACGUUUAAGAGAAGACAAACACCCCGAGCAACUUGGGAAUUUUUUUUUCAUUUGUAAAUGCAGCUCUGCUUUUAGACUGGAUUUCAAGUAUUUUUCGAUCCGUUCCUAUGUGGAAAAUGGACAGACCUUUAUACUUACUCACAUUAAUACACUUUAAGUCUAUACACAUAAUUUCUGUGAAUACAAAACAGAUACAAUUGGAGGAGAGAAGAAGUGGUAAUUGUGUUACACUUGACUGUGGAGGUCAUGUGGGAUUUUGACAUUUCUUAUUAAUCUUGUUUACUACGAGCGCGACGGGUUAGUCACCACAUGUUAUGGGAUGCAGCUCUUAUGAGUAGGGUUGGGUCCCGAGAACCGGUUCCAAAUUAGAACCGGUUCCGAAUUUUCGGUUCCACCUGAAUCAUUAAGAAAUUUUAAUUUCGGUUCUGCUUUUCGAUUCCUAAAAGUUGUCCCUCGCCGCACACACUCGUUUCUGUUAAAAACGCAUGCGCAGCUGCGUCUACCUCCAGCUUCUCGCGGCACGCCGUUCUGUUUGGACUGCACACAGAUAUUUUCUUUGUUGAUAACAAGAUACGAACCUGUAUAACCUAAGUUGUUCGCCAUCAUGGAGCGCAGCAGGCGCUCUAAAGUGUGGCUUCAUUUUGUCAAAACGGAUGACUGUUCGGCACAGUGCAACACUUGUGACAAACGUAUUUUUGUGCAAUGGAGGAUGCACCACGAAUAUAGCAAAACAUCUUCGCCAGCAGCACGGUAUACAAAUCAAAGAAUGUACCGUGUUUGACAUGCUGCGCCGGCCUCCCUCCUCCUCACAAGCCUCGUCCUCCUGCGUCAGCCCGGCAGCCAACAGCCAGCACCUCCUCGCCGGAGCCCUCGCAGUCGGGUAAGUUCAGUGAACUUUUAUUGAAGAUUUAAAUAACGUUUGUUUAGUUUCUAAAUUUAAUAAGCAACCGCGUCAAAUGUGUUUUUGUAGAUGAAAGCUCGCAGUCGCAGAGUUUACGGCCUAACGUUACUGCUCAAGCUAACAAGCUGGUCCCACAACGUGAAACUCCCUUCACCUUAGCGGCUGGAAAGUUGACCGACACUGAACAGUUAACAGUGCAUGAUUGUGGAGGAGAUGGUGAGAGGAGCCAGGGCGACAAGGAAGGAGUGGAGAGUGAGGAAGAGGAGCAUCCACCUCCCUGCAAAACUGUGAGGAUGACUCCACUGGAGGAGCUUUUUGCUGACGAAGAUGCUGUAAAGAUGACAUCACUGCAGACCUCCACAUCCAUCCAGGACAGAGUUGAGAAGGAGUUGCAGAUGUACAAGGAUAUGCCACCCAUCGUUACAUCUGAUGACCCUGCUGCUUGGUGGUGGAACAUGCGAACGACGUAUCCUUGUUUGUCAGACAUGGCCUUUUCAUUUUUAUGUGUACAGGCCUCCUCUACACCAAGUGAACGAGUUUUCUCCACUGCGGGAAACACAAUCUGUGCUGAACGUUCACGUAUACUGCCUGAGAAGGCAGAUAUGCUUAUUUUUCUGAACAAAAACUGUUAAUGUGGGGAGUUUUUAUACCUGCUUGUUCCAUGCAGGCCUCCUUUACACCGGGUGAAUAAGUUUUCUUUAAUGCGGGAAACACAAUCUGCUGGACGUUCACAUAUACUGCCUGAGAAGGCUUUAGAUAUGCUUAUUUUCUUGAACUGUUUCUGUUCUGUUUUUUUAUACCUGCUAGUUCCCUGCAGAAUGUGAAUGACUGACUGAAUGUGAGUCAAUUUGAGGAAAGGUGUAUUAAAAAAAAAAAAAAAAAAAAAAUUGUGUGAAAUAAGCAUUUGACAUUUUAUGACCCCGCCCCUCAAAGAAUCGGAAUCGAGAAUCGUCAGGAACCGGAAUCGGAAAGCAGAAUCGGAAUCGGAAUCAGAAUCAGAAUCAGAAUCAGAAUCGCUAAAAUUCAAACGAUACCCAACCCUACUUAUGAGUAAUGGGACCUUAUUGUAACCUGUCACAUCUUGUUAAUCCUUUGACUUGAGGACACUAGGAAGCAUAGUGCAGUACGCUAGGGCUGCCCCUUGAGAUUUGAAUCGUCAGUUGAAGACCACUCAGUUGACUGAGAUUGCCUCAAGUCGAGCAGUUGUCUUUUUUUGUUUGUAUUUUUUGCUAGUCAGUGUUUUGUGCAGUGUACUUCAGGGUACUGGCUUUUGGUCCUUUGGUCCCCAGAUUUUGCUGUGGAGUAUGCGCUCUUGACUUUAAUCACUCUGGCUUAUUACUGUUUAUAUGAACCGAUCACAGUCGUCUUGCACGGUACUAAGCCCAGGAUACAACAAUGGUGCUUUUGGGAAAUAGUGUCGAAGGGAACUUGUUUUGGUGGAACGUUUGCACCUGCCUCUCAAAGGAAAACACCACAAAAUAACAUUUACAGUCCUUCAACUUUUAGUGAUAAAAAUACAGAAUCUGAUAAUGGGUGACCCAGAGGUUAAGCCUACAGUGAGAUGAAGCCUACAUCUGUUAUGUCAGUCUACUUUAAAAUAAUUUAAUUAUUUUGGGCGAAAAACAAUGGUUUGAGUUGAAGGUGUGAGAAAGAAUAGUAUCAGUAACAUUGUUAACACUGUGCUACAUUACAGAGAAAUACAAAACCGUACUAAUGAACCUUCAUUAAUAUAGGCCUAUAUUUUAUCUACAAGUGCACGUCACACACUGAGCGAGCCGCCUGUUAAUGACGCUGUGGGCUAAUGGGCAUGUAGCUACUUCCAUGUUUCAGAUGAUACGUCAUGUUUGUAGUCGACCAAUGAAGAUGAGUUUACAUAUCACCUUGGGUUCGUCCUUCACCUUCUCAAAAUGAUCCCACACUUUGGAUUUCCUGCCCGACAUGUUAUUAACUAGCCUGUGGAAUAACCGCAGGUACCAGCCCUGGAAAUUAACCUGACUCCUGUCUGACUGCUGAGCGUGGACACUUCCUGUGUCUGUCCUUUCAAAUUAAAUUCCCACAUGGUCCAGUCAUAUAGGUUUGGAUUUAUUUUGACAAGGCGCAGCUCCGAGUAGAGUUUCACGUUUGUUUGUUUUCUGCAACUAAGCGACCAAUGAAAUCUUGCCAAUAAAUGACCUUUUUGGUUGACUAAGGUUUGGUUCGACUGUUAGAGGGCAGCCCUAGUAAUUUGUGUGUUUAACCUUUUUGUUUACCAUUCGUGACUGUGUAUUCACAAGCCUGCACCACAAUUAGUACGAGUCAUCCUGGCAACCCAUCUAAUAGUUUGCUCAGGUAUUUCACUCAAAACCACAAAUGUCAACCUUGUGCUGUCGUUAAAGAAACAUCAGAGAAUCAUCAGAUAUUUUAGGGUUCUUCCUCUAAGGACCAUGAACGUCUGCACAAGAUUUAAUAACAAGCCAUCAAGUAGUUGUUGAGACAUUUCAGUUUGGACCGAAGUGGUGGACCAACAGACCGACUAACCAACAUUGCCAUCCAAACAGCCAUGCCGUAGUCAAACCCUUCCUUUUAUAAACCCUCACAUCACUUCACAUACGUCUGCUCUCAGUGAUCGACACUACAGUUCAGCUCCCUAAUGAACAACUGUCUAUUCUCAGGUGCCAGCCUUGAUGUGAUGAGUAUUAGCACACGGCUUGUGUUACAGCGAUACGAACAUGCUGCCACGUCAGGAUCGCUGUGGAUCACAUCCCUCUGCAAGCAAGCGGGUUCGCCCGCGGGCACGGCUCGCCUGCCACUCCCAGGAAUACUUAACAUGCAACGUGAUCCUCUCUGCAUAAUGACUUCACAAUAAGCAACAACAACAGCUUCUCCCAUGGUGACACCAUCAUGGGAACUACCUGUCAUUUCGUUUCUCUCUCACUAAACCUCACGGAAAUUUGGGAGACGCCUUUGGGUAACCGACGUUCAAACGAUUUCACCUUACAAAAAAAGUAAAGUACAUUAAAACAAUAAAGGAGACAAAGGGUGUGUACAGACUGUAAAGGCCCUUUGAGACAAAUUUAAAUGACUUAAAUAGCUUAUAAAUGGUGCAGAUGAAAGUGAAAACCUCGACCAGGCUCAUGAUGCGUCUGAGUUACAAAGGGAAAGUGGACUAAACCCAAGAAACUAAAAAAAUGUUCUGUCCAAACUUGACAUAUGGAAACUUAAUCAUGACUUCAGUAAUUAAUAGCCUUUUAAAUCAGUUCUCUGUCUCACUCCCUUUGGCUCGCUGCCUAAGAUGACUGAUUUGGUUCGGCUCCAAGCUGACGGCAGCCUUGUGAUCUUUCAUCAUGAGCUGCACCUCUAUGUCAAACACUGCUGCCACAGUCACAGCUCCAGAAAUUUCACCAACAUAUGGAAUGCCCCCAUAGCUGUCAAAAGACAAAACUGGUUAUGCCUGGCAGUCGCGGCGAAAUGAAUUACGAGCACCUGGGCUGCUUGGUACAUCUGUAAAAACACUGAUUUGACAACAAACGCUGCUUCACUGUGUUGUAUAACCUCAUCGGAUACUUAACUUAAUCUCUGGCGGCUUAAAGAGACAAGGGAAAAGGAAGAGACCAAUGACAAGAAGAACAGAUGUGUUUUAAAUGGUUUAGGGAGGAGAUUAAAAUUGACGUUACAAAAUAAACUGUGCUACGUAACUGCUGUGGGUUAAGGUGGAUUUCUUAGAAGAGACUGCCGACAUGCUGAUCUGUUGUGUAAACAAUAUGAGGCAAACUAAUUUUAGUAAAUUCAAAACAGCAACACCCUCAAGACUGUUUCCUCAAAUUAAAAAUAGCAGAAUAUUUUAGGAGGCAGGGGAUAGCAGAAUUAAUUUUUACAGUUUGCAAGGAAAGAAAUCUCUGAUAUUGAGCAACAUUUUUUAAAUCAUUAAUCAUUAAUAAAGUGCCAUUUUUUUUAAAUUGUCUAUUGAUAAAAUAUUUGUGCUUUUUGCUUUGUCUGCUUUGGUUUAAAAGCUCCAAAAAUCCAAGGUGGCGACAGCUGAAAAACCGAACCUCAGGCUUUAACAUUGUUUACAGCCAGGUAGAAAAAACUGUUUUGGUCUCUGUAGCUAAUUUCCUCCUUGACUUGCUGAUUUGCAUAUUUGUAGAAGUAUUUUUAGGGUUUGAUGUAACUUAUUUAUUCUUGAUCUUGAUCGAUGUGAUCAAUAAUAAUCUCUGAUAAACAUUACAAGUAGCCUACUAAGAGGAAACAACCUUUUUGUAAUUAUUCCAAGGUAACAAAAUAAAAUAACCUUUUGUUUUCUCAACAUUUAAUUAUUUCUUUUUUUUUUAAUUAUUAUUUCACAGCUUGUUUUCCUGAGAUGAUAAAAUAAUUAAUUUGUGAUGCUGAAAUGAAAACAUUAAAAAAUAAUUGUGAGGAUGGCCGUUCUCUGCUUUCGUAGUAUAUACACUGAAAUGCAACUUAUAUUUAUAUACACAAGGAAAAAAAACAGGUAUAAGACUUUGUUUUGGUGGGCUAAUUUAUUAAGUUAUUGUUUUUAUAAUGAUUUCACAUCAUUAUUAUUGAAAUGAUUGUUUUUAUAAUGAUUUCACAUCAUUAUUAUUCAUAAUAAUAAUAAUAAUAAUACUAACAUUAUUAUUAUUAUUAUUAUUAUUA